rnacentral:tRNA from 1 species
GACCCUGUAGUUCAAUCGGAUAGAAUAGAGACCUCCUAAGUCUUAGAUCUGGGUUCGAUUCCCGGCGGGGUCA